UACGUAGGGGGCUAGCGUUGUCCGGAAUCAUUGGGCGUAAAGCGCGUGUAGGCGGUCCGGUAAGUCCGCUGUGAAAGUCGGGGGGCUCAACCCUCGGAUGCCGGUGGAUACUGUCGGGCUUGAGUACGGAAGAGGCGAGUGGAAUUCCUGGUGUAGCGGUGAAAAUGCGCAGAUAUCAGGAGGAACACCAAUUGCGAAGGCAGCUCGCUGGGACGUUACUGACGCUGAGACGCGAAAGCGUGGGAGCA
rnacentral:rRNA from 1 species